rnacentral:rRNA from 1 species
AACGAACGCUGGCGGCAGGCCUAACACAUGCAAGUCGAGCGCACCUUCGGGUGAGCGGCGGACGGGUUAGUAACGCGUGGGAACGUGCCCAGAUCUAAGGAAUAGCCACUGGAAACGGUGAGUAAUACCUUAUACGCCCUUCGGGGGAAAGAUUUAUCGGAGAAGGAUCGGCCCGCGUUAGAUUAGAUAGUUGGUGGGGUAACGGCCUACCAAGUCUACGAUCUAUAGCUGGUUUUAGAGGAUGAUCAGCAACACUGGGACUGAGACACGGCCCAGACUCCUACGGGAGGCAGCAGUGGGGAAUCUUGGACAAUGGGCGCAAGCCUGAUCCAGCCAUGCCGCGUGAGUGAUGAAAGGCCCUAGGGUCGUAAAGCUCUUUCGCCUGUGAAGAUAAUGACGGUAGCA